rnacentral:piRNA from 1 species
UGACUUACUGAGUGAGGA